AGAGUUUGAUCCUGGCUCAGAUUGAACGCUGGCGGCAGGCCUAACACAUGCAAGUCGAGCGGUAACACAAGGGAGCUUGCUCCUGAGGUGACGAGCGGCGGACGGGUGAGUAAUGCCUAGGGAUCUGCCCAGUCGAGGGGGAUAACAGUUGGAAACGACUGCUAAUACCGCAUACGCCCUACGGGGGAAAGGAGGGGACCUUCGGGCCUUCCGCGAUUGGAUGAACCUAGGUGGGAUUAGCUAGUUGGUGAGGUAAUGGCUCACCAAGGCGACGAUCCCUAGCUGUUCUGAGAGGAUGAUCAGCCACACUGGGACUGAGACACGGCCCAGACUCCUACGGGAGGCAGCAGUGGGGAAUAUUGCACAAUGGGGGAAACCCUGAUGCAGCCAUGCCGCGUGUGUGAAGAAGGCCUUCGGGUUGUAAAGCACUUUCAGUAGGGAGGAAAGGUAAUAGUUUAAUAAACUAUUACUGUGACGUUACCUACAGAAGAAGGACCGGCUAACUCCGUGCCAGCAGCCGCGGUAAU
rnacentral:rRNA from 1 species